GAUGAAGAACGUAGCGAAAUGCGAUAAGAAGUGUGAAUUGCAGAAUUCAGUGAAUCAUCGAAUCUUUGAACGCACAUUGCGCCCCUUGGUAUUCCAUGGGGCAUGCCUGUUCGAGCGUCAUUUGUACCUUCAAGCUCUGCUUGGUGUUGGGUGUUUGUCUCGCCUCUGCGUGUAGACUCGCCUCAAAACAAUUGGCAGCCGGCGUAUUGAUUUCGGAGCGCAGUACAUCUCGCGCUUUGCACUCAUGACGACGACGUCCAAAAGUACAUUUUUACACUCUUGACCUCGGAUCAGGUAGGGAUACCCGCUGAACUUAAGCAUAUCAAUAAGCGGAGGA
rnacentral:misc_RNA from 1 species